GACGAACGCUGGCGGCGUGCUUAACACAUGCAAGUCGAACGGUAAGGCCCUUCGGGGUACACGAGUGGCGAACGGGUGAGUAACACGUGGGUGAUCUGCCCUGCACUUCGGGAUAAGCCUGGGAAACUGGGUCUAAUACCGGAUAGGACCACUGCCUGCAUGGGUGGUGGUGGAAAGCUUUUGCGGUGUGGGAUGGGCCCGCGGCCUAUCAGCUUGUUGGUGGGGUGAUGGCCUACCAAGGCGACGACGGGUAGCCGGCCUGAGAGGGUGACCGGCCACACGGGGACUGGGAUACGGCCCAGACUCCUACGGGAGGCAGCAGUGGGGAAUAUUGCACAAGGGGCGCAAGCCUGAUGCAGCGACGCCGCGUGAGGGAUGACGGCCUUCGGGUUGUAAACCUCUUUCAGCACCGACGAAGCGCAAGUGACGGUAGGUGCAGAAGAAGGACCGGCCAACUACGUGCCAGCCGCCGCCGUAA
rnacentral:rRNA from 1 species